rnacentral:rRNA from 1 species
UACGAAGGUGGCAAGCGUGGUUCGGAUUUACUGGGCGUACAGGGAGCGUAGGCGGUUGGAUAAGCCCUCCGUGAAAUCUCCAGGCUUAACCUGGAAAGUGCAGAGGGGACUGUUCAGCUAGAGGAUGGGAGAGGAGCGCGGAAUUCCCGGUGUAGCGGUGAAAUGCGCAGAUAUCAGGAGGAAUACCGAUGGCGAAGGCAGGUCUCUGGGCUGACACUGACGCUCAUGCACGAAAGCGUGGGGAGCAAACAGG